rnacentral:misc_RNA from 1 species
GAAAUGCGAUAAGUAAUGUGAAUUGCAGAAUUCAGUGAAUCAUCGAAUCUUUGAACGCACAUUGCACCCCCUGGUAUUCCGGGGGGCAUGCCUGUUCGAGCGUCAUUUCACCACUCAAGCCUCGCUUGGUAUUGGGCAACGCGGUCCGCCGCGUGCCUCAAAUCGACCGGCUGGGUCUUCUGUCCCCUAAGCGUUGUGGAAACUAUUCGCUAAAGGGUGUUCGGGAGGCUACGCCGUAAAACAACCCCAUUUCUAAGGUUGACCUCGGAUCAGGUAGGGAUACCCGCUGAACUUAAGC